rnacentral:rRNA from 1 species
GACGAACGCUGGCGGCGUGCUUAACACAUGCAAGUCGAACGGAAAGGCCCUGCUUUUGUGGGGUGCUCGAGUGGCGCACGGGUGAGUAACACGUGAGUAACCUGCCCUUGACUUUGGGAUAACUUCAGGAAACUGGGGCUAAUACCGGAUAGGAGCUCCUGCUGCAUGGUGGGGGUUGGAAAGUUUCGGCGGUUGGGGAUGGACUCGCGGGUUAUCAGCUUGUUGGUGGGGUAGUGGCUUACCAAGGCUUUGACGGGUAGCCGGCCUGAGAGGGUGACCGGCCACAUUGGGACUGAGAUACGGCCCAGACUCCUACGGGAGGCAGCAGUGGGGAAUAUUGCACAAUGGGCGGAAGCCUGAUGCAGCAACGCCGCGUGCGGGAUGACGGCCUUCGGGUUGUAAACCGCUUUCGCCUGUGACGAAGCGUGAGUGACGGUAAUGGGUAAAGAAGCACCGGCUAACUACGUG